UUUUUUUUUUCCUUCUAAAAUUUUUAUUCUUAACCACUGGAUUCUUUUGCUUUCGUUUCUUUGGGACAGUGUUUUUAUCACAUGGCGCAGGCUGUCCUUGAACAUGACAGUUCCAAUGCAACUUCCAGAGUGGAGUAACAUCUGUGUGCUACUAUGUCUGGCUCUGAUUGGAUCCUUCAGCUAUCUUUGAGUAUCAGGAAAUUUUUCUGCAAAGAGCUUGGAAACAAGCAAUUUUCAAACAAAGCCAGCAGAGGGGGUUUCAAAACAGCAUGCACUGUCUUAAAAUGUGCUCGCAGGGACAGAAUAACAGAUACGAUUCCAUGUGAAGCCUCUAACAGUAUAUGUUCAUCUUACACGUGUUCGGAAAGAAUACAGUUACAUGAAUCUGUAAGAAAAAUCACAAGUGGAAAUGAAAAUCAUUUCCAAGCUAUAUUAGGCAGAAUACUUCCACAUUAAUAUAUAUUGAUAUUAUCAAACAGUAGCAGCUCAUUGUAUGAUUUAUAUUUCAAUCCCACAAUACUUUUGGUCAUUUGACCUGUGGUAUACUUGCCUGGGGAGCUUUUAAAAUCAAAAUAUUUUAAUUAGAUCUUAAUGGAAGAAAACCAUAUACAUGAUUUAAAAGAAAUCACCUUAGAGUAGUAACAAAAAUCAACAAAGCCUUGCUUUUCCUUUACCUAUCCCCAUACAUUUUCUCUAGAAAUAACCACUUUUAGCUCCUAGAUGGUUUUGCAUUAAUUUUCCUAAUCAUAGUUUAUGUUGCUUCUUUAUGUAUUUGACCUUUAUUUAUGUUUUUGUAGCGCUGCGUAUCAUACCUAGAGCCUCAU
rnacentral:lncRNA from 1 species